CCUACGGGAGGCAGCAGUGAGGAAUAUUGGUCAAUGGACGCAAGUCUGAACCAGCCAUGCCGCGUGAAGGAUGAAGGCCUUCUGGGUUGUAAACUUCUUUUAUCUGGGAAGAAAAGCACUGUUUCUACGGUGUCCGACGGUACCAGAGGAAUAAGCACCGGCUAACUCCGUGCCAGCAGCCGCGGUAAUACGGAGGGUGCAAGCGUUAUCCGGAUUCACUGGGUUUAAAGGGUGUGUAGGCGGGCUAUUAAGUCAGUGGUGAAAUCUCCGAGCUUAACUUGGAAACUGCCAUUGAUACUAUUAGUCUUGAAUUCUGUUGAGGUUGGCGGAAUAUAUCAUGUAGCGGUGAAAUGCAUAGAUAUGAUAUAGAACCCCGAUUGCGAAGGCAGCUAACUAAACAGAUAUUGACGCUGAGGCACGAAAGCGUGGGGAUCAAACAGGAUUAGAUACCCCUGUAGUC
rnacentral:rRNA from 1 species